UUUGAUAUAUGUUUGCAUCUAUUUCACUUUGUCAGCUAUUUGCAUAUAUUUAGCUGAUCAUGUUAGGAUGGAAGAACU